rnacentral:rRNA from 1 species
CCUACGGGCGACAGCAGUGGGGAAUAUUGCACAAUGGGGGAAACCCUGAUGCAGCGACGCCGCGUGAGUGAAGAAGUAUUUCGGCAUGUAAAGCUCUAUCAGCAGGGAAGCAGAAAGACGGUACCUGACUAAGAAGCCCCGGCUAACUACGUGCCAGCAGCCGCGGUAAUACGUAGGGGGCAAGCGUUAUCCGGAUUUACUGGGUGUAAAGGGAGCGUAGACGGCUGUGCAAGUCUGAAGUGAAAGCCCAGGGCUCAACCCUGGGACUGCUUUGGAAACUGUGGAGCUAGAGUGCUGGAGAGGUAAGUGGAAUUCCUAGUGUAGCGGUGAAAUGCGUAGAUAUUAGGAGGAACACCAGUGGCGAAGGCGGCUUACUGGACAGUAACUGACGUUGAGGCUCGAAAGCGUGGGGAGCGAACAGGAUUAGAUACCCCAGUAGUC